rnacentral:rRNA from 1 species
UACAGAGGGUGCGAGCGUUAAUCGGAAUUACUGGGCGUAAAGGGCGCGUAGGUGGUUAGAUAAGUCGGAUGUGAAAUCCCCGGGCUCAACCUGGGAACUGCACUCGAAACUGUCUGACUAGAGUUUGGUAGAGGGAAGUGGAAUUCCACAUGUAGCGGUGAAAUGCGUAGAUAUGUGGAGGAACAUCAGUGGCGAAGGCGGCUUCCUGGACUAAAACUGACACUGAGGCGCGAAAGCGUGGGGAGCAAACAGG